GGGGGACACAUUCAAACCAUAGUGAUGGCCUUGCCUUAUUUGAUGUGCACAUCAGCCUGGUUUGAACCAUAGAGACUGCAACACCACUUAUAAUAACUUCUGUUAGAUACUAAAAAAGAAGUUCACGUGUAGUGAACAAUCUUUGCAUAAGGUUUUAAAAAUAUACAUUUGUUAUUGGAGUUUUUAUCUGGUCUUUCUAAACCUGGUGCUAUUUUUUAUCUGCUACUUGGAUUUCUUUGCUUCUGUAUGUGUAUUUUUAAAACAUUGAUCUAAUCUUGGCUUACAGGAGCCUGCCACUGAGCACAUGUUUGCUAGUUCAUCAGAGCCUAUUCAUCUUUUCCUGACCAUUGGGGAAAUCUAAUGGUGUCCAGCUAUAGAGCAAAUCAAGCCUGGGGGCUGCCUUCUUGGAAUGAAAUGCUGCUUAGGGAGAGACCAGAUUCAGUCUUAUGGCUAAGUAGCAAGCAUCCCAGCUCGUUUGGCAGUUUGAUUCAUAUAUUUACAUGUUGAAUAAGUGGUGAUCUCAACCCUCAACUCACUUCUUUAUGCAAGAAAUUCCUAAUAUUUUUCGUAUUUUCUUCCUUUAGCUCUUGUUGCAUUCAGGAGUGGAAAAUAUGCAGGUGACUCUUGCUUGCCAAGCUGCUCAGAAAAAUGCUUUGAUGGUGGCUGUCCAGCAGGUGUACUUCUAUCACACCCCGCAAGGGAGCUGUCCUGCUAAUGUCGAGGAAAUAAGUUCAAAUCUGAGAAAUCAUGGUGGAAUGGGCCCAACUAGAAGAAGACAGUCCAGAAUUGUAAAUGGUAUAGACGGCUCACUGAUAGCCCCAACUCCAAAAGUCCCAGCUACUCUCACUCAUUCUCCAGAAAGAUUUCAGGCUACCAAAAGGUACUGUACCUGGUGAGAUGGAAGGAGGGAUACUGCUUAGAAUAACAAAAGUGUCCUCUUUUAAGUCAAUUAAUAAACAGUAUUGGGGGGAUUGAAGAAGUCUAAACUCUCGGAGUGACUAGCAUCUUAUAUAAAGACCUUGUACAAAUACUGAGAGGGCUCAACUCCUUCCAAUAUACUCCGGUCAAUAAAGGGCAGUGAACAGCUCCUCAAUUUAACCUCUUCUCUUUUUCCUCCCCCUUCUCUUUUCUCUUUCACUUCCAUUCUUCUCUCUCUGUAUAUUUUUCAGACUCCAAAGAGUGUAUAUCACAAGGAAGGCCUUUCCAAAUUCUCCAAAUCUAUUUAAAUUGAGAAGCACAGAACUGUCCUCACUUUUUUGUUUGUUUGUUUUGGAGUCUCGCUCUGUUGCCAGGCUGGAGUGUGCAGUGGCGUGUUCUCGGCUCACUGCAACCUGCACCUCCCGGGUUCAAGUGAUUCUCCUGCCUCAGCCUCCCAAGUAGCUGGGAUAAUAGGCAAGCACCACCGCGCCCAGCUAAAUUUUUUGUAUUUUUAUUAGAGAUGGGGUUUCACCAUGUUGGCCAGGAUGGUCUCAUUCUCCUGACCUCAUGAUCCGCCAGCCUAGGCCUCCCAAAGUGCUGGGAUUAUGGGUAUGAGCCACCACACCUG
rnacentral:lncRNA from 1 species